GACAGAGGGGGCAAGCGUUGCUCGGAAUUACUGGGCGUAAAGGGCGCGUAGGCGGCCUUGUAAGUGGGGUGUGAAAUCCCCCCCGGCUCAACCGGGGAACUGCAUCCCCAGACUGCAGGGGCUUGAGGGCAGCAGAGGAAACGGGAAUUCCCGGUGUAGCGGUGAAAUGCUUAGAUAUGACAUAGAACACCAAUUGCGAAGGCAGCUGGCUACACGAAUAUUGACACUGAUGCACGAAAGCGUGGGGAUCAAACAGG
rnacentral:rRNA from 1 species